rnacentral:lncRNA from 1 species
UCUAGCAUUUAUAUAGCACUUACUAUGUUUCAGGGUCCACCUUAAGGACUAUACAACAAUUAUUAUCUUAUUUCAUUCUCACAACAAUUCCGGGAGUUUAUGUGCUAUUAUGACCUCCAUUUUAUGGGUGGAAUAUAUAGGAAAUGAUAGAAAAUUGAGUUGAAGUGACUUGCCAUGGGUCACAUAGCCAGUAAGUGUCUGAGAUGGAAUUUGAACUCAGGUCUUCCUGACUCCAAGCCCUGUGCUCUUAGAGUUGCCUGAAGUUCAUUAUGGGUGAUAACAAGUCACCUUAAUAUAGUCGGCAUAUCAUCUCAUUCCAGUCACACAACACAGUUAGAUGUUCAUUAUAUAAUCCCCAUUUUACAUCUUUAAGAGGUUAAAUGACUGGUCCAGGAAGUAUGUGAGGUGGGUGUCCAUACCCAUUAUGACCCUCUGUGCCUUCUGCCACUCUCUUGUUUCAAGGUAAUCCAUCACUACUGACCCCUGGAGGAGAACUGGUCACAAUAAGAGCUUGAAUAGCUAUAGGGUCCUCAGAGGGGAAGGAAAAACUCCAGUCAAAGGCAGCCUGCUGAGUGAAAGGUCUCAAAGUGUCUUUCAUUGGCAUCUAAUAAGCAGCCGUAAUUAGAUUUCAUGACCGGGCUCUCUUCCAGGAAACUGAGGAAAAUGGAACUAAAUGACAUGUCCAGGGGGACACAGUUGGUAGAUGUUUAAAGUUAUUAUUUCACUUAGGUUAUCCAAUAAUCCUAUGAUGAGGCUCCUGGCCAGACUGGCUUCAGAAAGAAGAGUUCUUUCACAUCCCAGGAACUUUCAAAGACCAUCUAACCAGGCUGUAGAGGGAUUUUAAUUUGUAACAUUGGUGAUAAUAUCCUUGCAAAUCCCCAUCUAAUUCCUGAUCAAGUCAAAGGAUCUUAAAAUAUUGGAGUUCUGGAACUAAACCGAAGACAUAAGAAAAAAACACAAAACACACAUUUCAUUUUUAAAAAUUACUUUUCUGAAUGCCACUGAAAUAUAGCCUCUUGUUAACUUAUUUGUUAAAGUGAUUUCCUAUAGUUGUUUCCAUGGUGAUAUUACCUCUUGUUAAGUUUCUAUUUUUCUUUACCAUAUACUUUAAGAUUAUAGUAGUUUUUAAUCUUGGAAACAGA